UUCGCAAUGCCCGAAAGGGUGACGAAGCGACGCCGCGUGCGGGAAGAAGGCCUUCGGGUUGUAAACCGCUGUCGGGAGUUAGGAAGUGCAAGGAUGUUAAUAGCGUUCUUGCUUGACUAAGGCUCCGGAGGAAGCCACGGCUAACUCUGUGCCAGCAGCCGCGGUAAUACAGAGGCGGCAAGCGUUGUUCGGAAUUAUUGGGCGUAAAGAGCACGUAGGCGGCUGUGUAAGUCGGUUGUGAAAGCCUUCCGCUCAACGGAAGGACGGCAUCCGAUACUGCAUGGCUCGAGUGCGGGAGGGGAGAGUGGAACUUCUGGUGGAGCGGUGAAAUGCGUAGAUAUCAGAAGGAACACCGGCGGCGAAGGCGACUCUCUGGUCCGUAACUGACGCUGAGUGUGCGGAAGCUAGGGGAGCAAACGGGAUUAGAUACCCCGGUAGUCCUAGCCGUAAACGAU
rnacentral:rRNA from 1 species